UACGUAGGGGCUAGCGUUAUCCGGAAUUACUGGGCGUAAAGGGUGCGUAGGUGGUUUCUUAAGUCAGAGGUGAAAGGCUACGGCUCAACUGUAGUAAGCCUUUGAAACUGGGAAACUUGAGUGCAGGAGAUGAGAGUGGAAUUCCUAGUGUAGCGGUGAAAUGCGUAGAUAUUAGGAGGAACACCAGUUGCGAAGGCGGCUCUCUGGACUGUAACUGACACUGAGGCACGAAAGCGUGGGGAGCAAACAGGAUUAGAUACCCGCGUAGUCCCU
rnacentral:rRNA from 1 species